UUAAAUACAAUGAAAAGAAGUAGUAAAUUAAUUGAUGCUUUACAGAGAGAGGGAUUAGGUGAGAGCCCUUACGAUAGAUUAAUUGAAGCAGUCUUGGAGUAUCAACUUUGAAAUUAAGUAGGAGUUGACGGUGGUUCCGUUAUAACUUAGGUUUUCCGAAGAUACUGUGAUUUUUACAGUAAUUAGGGUGGUACCGCGAGAUAUAUCCUCGCCCCUAUA
rnacentral:ncRNA from 1 species